rnacentral:rRNA from 1 species
UACGAAGGGGGCUAGCGUUGUUCGGAAUUACUGGGCGUAAAGCGCGCGCAGGCGGUUCUUCAAGUCAGUGGUGAAAGCCCGGAGCUCAACUCCGGAGCUGCCAUUGAAACUGUGGAACUUGAGGAUGAGAGAGGUGAGUGGAAUUCCCAGUGUAGAGGUGAAAUUCGUAGAUAUUGGGAAGAACACCGGUGGCGAAGGCGGCGACCUGGUCCUUGACUGACGCUGAGGCGCGAAAGCGUGGGGAGCAAACAGG